CCUACGGGAGGCAGCAGUAGGGAAUCUUCGGCAAUGGACGAAAGUCUGACCGAGCAACGCCGCGUGAGUGAAGAAGGUUUUCGGAUCGUAAAACUCUGUUGGUAGAGAAGAACGUUGGUGAGAGUGGAAAGCUCAUCAAGUGACGGUAACUACCCAGAAAGGGACGGCUAAUUAGGUGCAAGCAGCCGCGGUAAUACGUAGGUCCCGAUCGUGGUCCGGAUUUAUUGGGCGUAAGGCGAGCGCAGGUGGUUUAUUAAGUCUAGUGGAAAAGGCAGGGGCUCAACCAUGUUAUGCAUUGGAAACUGGUAGACUGGAGUGCAGGAGAGGAGAGUGGAAGUCCAUGUGUAGCGGUGAAAUGCGUAGAUAUAUGGAGGAACACCGGUGGCGAAAGCGGCUCUCUGGCCUGUAACUGACACUGAGGCUCGAAAGCGUGGGGAGCAAACAGGAUUAGAUACCCUAGUAGUC
rnacentral:rRNA from 1 species